AUUGAACGCUGGCGGCAUGCUUUACACAUGCAAGUCGAACGGCAGCGCGGGCUUCGGCCUGGCGGCGAGUGGCGAACGGGUGAGUAAUGCAUCGGAACGUGCCCAGUAGUGGGGGAUAGCCCGGCGAAAGCCGGAUUAAUACCGCAUACGACCUGAGGGUGAAAGCGGGGGACCGAAAGGCCUCGCGCUAUUGGAGCGGCCGAUGUCGGAUUAGCUAGUUGGUGGGGUAAAGGCUUACCAAGGCGACGAUCCGUAGCUGGUCUGAGAGGACGACCAGCCACACUGGGAGUGAGACACGGCACAGACUCUGACGGGAGGCAGCAGUGGGGAAUUUUGGACAAUGGGGGCAACCCUGAUCCAGCCAUGCCGCGUGCGGGAAGAAGGCCUUCGGGUUGUAAACCGCUUUUGUUCGGGAAGAAAUCCUCUGGGCUAAUACCCCGGGGGGAUGACGGUACCGGAAGAAUAAGCACCGGCUAACUACGU
rnacentral:rRNA from 1 species